rnacentral:rRNA from 1 species
CCUACGGGUGGCAGCAGUGGGGAAUAUUGGACAAUGGGGGCAACCCUGAUCCAGCCAUGCCGCGUGUGUGAAGAAGGCCCUCGGGUUGUAAAGCACUUUCAGUGAGGAAGAACGCCUGGUGGUUAAUACCCAUCAGGAAAGACAUCACUCACAGAAGAAGCACCGGCUAACUCCGUGCCAGCAGCCGCGGUAAUACGGAGGGUGCGAGCGUUAAUCGGAAUUACUGGGCGUAAAGCGCGCGUAGGUGGCUUGAUAAGCCGGUUGUGAAAGCCCCGGGCUCAACCUGGGAACGGCAUCCGGAACUGUCAAGCUAGAGUGCAGGAGAGGAAGUUAGAAUUCCCGGUGUAGCGGUGAAAUGCGUAGAGAUCGGGAGGAAUACCAGUGGCGAAGGCGGCCUUCUGGACUGACACUGACACUGAGGUGCGAAAGCGUGGGUAGCAAACAGGAUUAGAUACCCGAGUAGUC